ACCGCCCCCUCGGGGCAGGGGCGCGGGCCGGGCUGAGGGGAAGGGAAGGGCCUGGAGCGGGAUUCAGACAGGGGCCGGGAAUGCCGCGGGGUCCAGUGGACUGGGUGGCAGCCCAGCUCUGUUGACAGCAGUUUGAAGCCAACAACAGGAGUUACAUGUUGAUGCUAGCACUGACAAAUGAUUCAGGCAAAAGAGAUCAUGACAUCUGUCAUUCUCUACACAAGGGUGCAAGCCCAGACCAAGUUCUUAAACGCCUCCAACUCAGCAGAAGGUUAAAAAGAUGCACAGGUUCUGCUGGACUCUUCGGGCCACAGCAAUCCCGAGUACCAGAGCCAAGAUUCCCCAGGCCUCGAAGCUGUGCUGUUGUGUAGCUGCCCCCAAGCCCAGCACGGGGCUCUGCAGACACUCAGGGUCAUGCAGCUGAGCAGUGGGCCAUGCUGGGGACAACGGGCAGUGGUACCAGCUCUGUCCAUCCCUGCUCAGGCAGGAGUUGUGCCUGUCUCCUUGGCAUUCUGGAAGAGAACAGUCUGGAGAGCUGUGUGAAGACAGCAUCCCUGUCACGCUGCCCUUUUCCCCAGGAUAUGAUGGGAGAGGUGCCCUGUCUGUUCACGGAGCCCA